GUUUUACCUGAGUUCAUCACGCAAGGAGUUCUGUGCUUCCUCUACCUGGUUACAGGGCAUUGGGCUAUGUCGCUUUACUGCGUUCCAUAUCUAUACUACAAUGUCAAUAUGUACAUGCAAAGACGGCACCUUAUAGAUGUUACUGAGAUUUUUAAUAUGCUCAGUUGGGAAAAGAAACAGAGGAUUUUCAAACUUGCUCACAUCAUAAUUCUUCUCGUCAUCUCAUUAUUUUGGGUGAUUUAUUCUGCCUUGGAGGAUGACGAGUUGGAUUUAUAGCUCUUAAUUCCCUCUUUCGA
rnacentral:misc_RNA from 1 species